rnacentral:rRNA from 1 species
GACGAACGCUGGCGGCGUGCUUAACACAUGCAAGUCGAACGGAAAGGCCCUGCUCUUGCGGGUCGCUCGAGUGGCGAACGGGUGAGUAACACGUGAGUAAACUGCCCUUGACUUAGGGAUAACUUCAGGAAAAUGGGGCUAAUAUCGCAUAUGAGCUCCUGCUGCAUGUUGGGGGAUGGAAAGUUUCGGCGGUUGGGGAUCGUCUGGCGGCUUACCGGCUUGUUGGUGGGGUAGUGGCAUACCAAGGCUUCGACGGGUAGCCGGCCUGGGAGGUGGACCGGCCACAAUAGUACUGAGGGACGCCCCAGAAUGCUAUGGGAGGCAGCAGUGGGGAGUAUUGCAGAGUGGGCGGAAGCCUGAGACGGAAACCCCGCGUGCGGGAUGCCGGCCUUUGAGUUGUAAACCGCUUUCGCCUGUGACGUGGCGUGAGUGACGGUAAUGGGUCAGGAAGCCCCGGCUAACUACGUG